GCUGAAAGCAUCUAAGCGCGAAGCCAUCUCCAAGAUAAGUUUUCCCUUGAGGGGCGUAGGAGACUACUACGUUGAUAGGCUACAGAUGUAAAGACAGUAAUGUCAAAGUCGAGUAGUACUAAUUACCCGAAUGGCUUUCUUAA
rnacentral:rRNA from 1 species